ensembl:lncRNA
AAAUAUUACAUAAAAUAAAUAAAUAAAUAAAUAAAUAAAUAAAUAAAUAAAUAUGAUAAAUAAUUACAAAAAUAAUAUGCAUAGCUAAAAAACAAUGCAUAGCUAACAUUGCUGGUUUCUUUAUGGCAUCUUUUUCUGUUUAUGUCAUGUUGUUCUAGUUUUAUGACCAUAAAAUGGAGAAUGGAGACUAUUUUGGAUGAUUUUCAGCAAAGCGAGAAAAUUUACAGUGUGUUGAAGACUCUCUGUGACAUGCGAGAGCUGAAUAUUCCACUACAGAGAAUGAACAGACAACACAGUCCAACAGCGACACAAUUUCAACAUAAGGGAGCAUAAUAAAUCAUUCUCAGCCAGACCUGAGACGUGCACUGAAGUGUCGCUUCUCUCACAUUUUUUUCCUAAUGUCUUUCACAACAGGCACUUUGAUUCACUCUUUCUGAACCUCCUCUGCUUUCUCUCAGUGUGAGGUUUAGCUGGCAGCACAUGCGUUCAGUGAGUCUUUGUGUGUCACAGUUUCGCAUUUCAGUCGUCAAGUCUCCGGGCCCCACUGCCCUCCAAAACCAGAGCUCAACGUACAACAUCAGUCUGAGCUCUGUGAUAUCCCGAUAAGAGGACAACUAAUAUAAACCACAUUGAACCGGAACCAAUAUGCGGUCCAGCGGCUCAAAGAGCAGUGACGUUUUCAGCAGCUGGCAGCGUCACAUUUGUACUAUGACCUUCUACCCAGAUAAGGAUGCACGUGGGCCACACCUAAAUGAACUCUGCUUCCUGUGGAAAGAAGCAUUUGAGAGGUCUCAACUUUUUGCCCUUCUCUCGCACUCUUGUUUUUCCUACCCUUCAGUGCUGAAGGAUCCCACCUUUGUCCACGUGAGGAGACUGUUUACAAACUGUUGUGACACCCACAACUCUUUUGAAGGACAGCACAGAACUCUCGAUUGGAAAAGCAAAAGUGUACAGUGAGGCCAAAGCAACAGGAAGAACAACAAACUCAAGUUUUGAACAUCAAGGGCCUCUUGAAUCCAACCGAAGCCCCUCAGAGUUCAAAUAUUCCUGAACUGCUUCCUUAAUUGCACUGAACUGCUUUUUAAUGACUCGUAUUUGAAGAAAAUUCCUUAUGAGACUUUGAUCGCACUGACUGAUGUGUGCUAUGACUUUAUGCAGAUAACAUUUCCACUGGACGUGUGCCUGUGGAAAAGACGGUGCGGCGUGACAAUGGGGGCCUGCAAAAGCAAUGUUCACUCUACAUGCUGUGCGCAUUUGGUCUAUGUUCCUUGGCUUCCAGUAUCCUUGAUUGGAGGGCAGCCGAAAAGUCCAGGGUCCAACCAAACAUUUUAAGAAGAUCUAAAGCAUGCCAUCACACUGGCAGCUUUAUGAAAACUAUUUUUCUGUAUCUGCCGCAUAUGUACGAAGACAUGCCACUGUAAACGCCGUGACUUGAAAUAACAGCUUCGUUCAGAGGAAACAGGAUGAUGAUAAUGUAAAUGACAGCUGUUAAGCAGACAUAUACUCAAUGUUUUGUUAGAUUAUGUAAUGUGUUACUGCUGUGAGGUCAUGGAUUCAGAAUUAUAUAAGAUGACGGUAUCAGGGUCAGUGAGAAAUCUUUUAAAAAUCACAUCAUGUUCUUAGAAAUGUACUCUGUAUUUAAGUAGUUUUUUAUACAUUUUGAAAAACGCUUUACAUUUUAUAAUCAAUGACUCUAAAAAUGUCAUGUGGUGUGACCGAGUAAAACAUAGUAAAAUAUUUUCCUUAAACUGUUUAAAAUUUAUAUUUCGGUUUUUAUUGUUUUUUAUAUUUUUUUCCUGAUUUCUUUUUAUUUAUUUUUUUGGAAGUUGCACCAAAAAAAAUAAAAAUAAAAAAUACAUAUAUCA